AGGAAGCACCGGCUAACUCCGUGCCAGCAGCCGCGGUAAUACGGAGGGUGCAGGCGUUGUUCGGAAUUAUUGGGCGUAAAGCGCGUGUAGGCGGAUAGAUAAGUCAGGCGUGAAAUCCCUUGACUCAAUCAAGGAACUGCACUUGAAACUAUUUAUCUCGAGUACGAUAGGGGAGGGUGGAAUUCCCAGUGUAGAGGUGAAAUUCAUAGAUAUUGGGAGGAACACCAGUGGCGAAGGCGACCCUCUGGAUCGAUACUGACGCUGAGACGCGAAAGCGUGGGUAGCAAACAGGAUUAGAUACCCUGGUAGUCCACGCUGUAAACGAUGUGCACUAGGUGUUGGAGGUACUCAAUCCUUCAGUGCCGCAGCUAACGCA
rnacentral:rRNA from 1 species